GUCCCCGUAUUCCAAUAGGUAGAGAAACGGAGCUCAAACCUCCGACAGUGUGGGUUCGAGUCCCACCGGGGACA
rnacentral:tRNA from 1 species